AUUGAACGCUGGCGGCAUGCCUUACACAUGCAAGUCGAACGGCAGCGGACCUUCGGGUGCCGGCGAGUGGCGAUCGGGUGAGUAAAGUAUCGGAACGUACCUUUCAGUGGGGGAUAACGUAGCGAAAGUUACGCUAAUACCGCAUAUUCUGUGAGCAGGAAAGCGGGGGAUCGCAAGACCUUUCGCUGAUUGAGCGGCCGAUAUCAGAGUAGCUAGUUGGUGAGGUAAAGGCUCACCAAGGCGACGAUCUGUAGCGGGUCUGAGGGGAUGAUCCGCCACACUGGAACUGAGACACGGUCCGGACUCCUACGGGAGGCAGCAGUGGGGAAUUUUGGACAAUGGGGGCAACCCUGAUCCAGCCAUGCCGCGUGAGUGAAGAAGGCCUUCGGGUUGUAAAGCUCUUUCGGCCGGGAAGAAAUCGCGCAGGCUAAUACCCUGUGCGGAUGACGGUACCGGAAUAAGAAGCACCGGCUAACUACGUGCCAGCAGCCGCGGUAAUAC
rnacentral:rRNA from 1 species